rnacentral:lncRNA from 1 species
GAUGCAAAACCAUCAGCUCCGCAUACGAAGGAGAGCCACCAGACACAACCUGGCACCUGACAGCAGGGAGACUGAGACCGAGCUCGGCUCCCCGGAUCCUGAGAGAAUGAGGAAAUCAGUGGUGCUUCAGGAUAUUGUGAAUUUGGUCUUCUGAAAGCAGAAUUCUGAUUUAACAGUAUAAUGGAAUUCGUGAACGUCAUGAUGCUAAUUUGAACCAACAAGCACCCUUGUGAGAGGAAUCUGCUUUUCCUCAAGUCUGAAGAACACCAGGAGAAUCUUUCUGUAUGGAGUUACCAGGAAUCCUCUGCUAAGGAAAGUGAAAGGGAAGAUGCAAUUUCUCCUGGGAAGGGGGGAUGCUGAUGUAGAGGGUGACAAGUAAUAUGCCAUGAAGGAUUCAGUCACCUGGUUAGAUUUAGAGUUAGAGUUAUGGUUAAGGAAGAAGGAAGGAAAAAAGGCAGAAGAGGAAGAAAGGAAGCAAGAAAAGAUAAAAUUUAUUCUAAGAUAAAAUUUGUGAAUUUUGCUAAACUAUA